UACGGGGGGGGCAAGCGUUGUUCGGAAUUACUGGGCGUAAAGGGCUCGUAGGUGGCCAACUAAGUCAGACGUGAAAUCCCUCGGCUUAACCGGGGAACUGCGUCUGAUACUGGAUGGCUUGAGUUUGGGAGAGGGACGCGGAAUUCCAGGUGUAGCGGUGAAAUGCUUAGAUAUGACAUAGAACACCCAUUGCGAAGGCAGCUAACUACACGAUCAUUGACACUGAGGCACGAAAGCGUGGGGAGCAAACAGG
rnacentral:rRNA from 1 species